CUGUUUUGGAAACAUCAGUAACAACUUGGUAGCUGAGGUUUAACCUCUUGCUUAGAUAAAUAUACAACAUUAUUCUCUACACAUUCUUUUCCGUGUUUUUUCAUUACUUUUUAGAGGGAGAUGCUUCUUUCUGGCUGAAUCUGGUUUGAAUUUCACACAUAUUUCAAACUGUACUUUAUGUUUGCCAGUUCCACACUCCACAUUAUAAAAAACAACCAAAAAAAUAAUGAUCUUGUUCAUUGCUCCACAAAGUUCUGGGAACAUUUUCUGCUACUGAAUAUGUAUGUAUAUGUGUCAAUUAGAGAAUUAAUGAUUGCUGUGGUGGGAAAGUUUGGGAGACAGAUAAGUGUGGCAUUCACAUUCUCUGAAAAAAUUCCUUCGCCCAGGAUUUUUCUCAUGGGAAGCUGGGAAGCCUUAGAGAAAAAGAAAACAAUUCUUAUCUCAUUUGCUUCCCCUGUGUUGUGCUCACAUGUGGAAUGUGUUUGGAGAUUGUUUAUCCACAGGUGAUUGUUUCAUUGGAUUCUGCUGUGAGUUGUUCUGACUCUUUGGCCAACUGGGGCGAAGCUGUGUUGGGACUCUGGAGAGAGUCACGAGUUUUCAUUAUUAUCUUUUUAGCAUUCAUGGAUGGAUAUGCCCUCUGGAUGUGGCUGUCCAAGAAAUACCUCAUAAACCUCUGAGCCCACCCAUCAAAUCCAUCUCUCCGCAGCUUAAAGAAAAGGAUGCUGUGGGGCACUGAGCCAAAGGCCUUACAGAAGUGCCCAGGUGCUGCUGUUGAGCUGUGUGACAGCAGUGUGACAGCCUGCAACUGCCACAUGCCUAAAUAAUCGUUUCUGCUACUUCUGGAAUGGAAAAAUAAUUUCUGGUCUGGAAAACCAAAGUUAGAUGAAGCAGAAUGGACAAGACCAAGACAGUUUGAAUGUAGCUUUUUCCUGGGAAAAGAAUUAAAGAUUGCUUGAUCUUCUGCUGUACACUUCACCAAUUUUUGUCUUUUUUCCCUUUAUAAAUCAACAAAGGCCAUCAUACAAAUGCCAGAGUACCUGUUGAUAUCAGCAUGGAAGACUUACUGUGAUAAAUUUUUAAGAUCCUGUCAUCUUGCUGUGUAGGAGCCUUGAAUUUUAAUCUGGGGAAACCUGAGCUUUGUUUUGAUGUUUGUCUAGUGCCAAACAUGUAGAUUCUGCUUUAUGACUAGGGAGCUUUGCUGUAAAUAAGAUGAAAAUAAUAAUUAAUACAGUGUUCCAUUGUAAAAUGAGAGUGGUUGCACUAAAUCCAGGAUGAAUGUGGGCUGAAUGAGAAGAUGGAAUGAAAUCUUUAUGUUGAGAUGAGUUAACAGAACCCCAUCACUCUUCAGCUAUUCAUUCUCCUUAGGACCAUCCUUUAUCAGCAUGUAAGUAACAUUUGCAUUGUGUAGGUUUGAUGAUAAAAAAGACAUUGUUAACUUUUCACAAGAGAUUGCUUUCCCCUUUAGUGGAAAUGUAUCCUGCAGCUGAGAACAUUCUGAUAGGUUUUUAAUUAGUCCUUGUGUUAGGAAGAAAUUCCUUUCUGUGGGUUUGGGUUGUGCUGAAAGAAUACGGGUUAGAGCUUUCACUUGUAUCUAGGGAUAAAGGACAGGGAAAGGCUGCUGGGCUUGUUGUUUCACUUGAAUUGACAAGAGGAAAAGGCAUAAACUGUCAGACUCUGUCUGCCUGAUAUCAAAGUUGCUGAAACAGGAGAAGUAUUUGAGUAAACAGAGUUUUUAAUUGCAAGUUUUUAAUCUGACACUUAUGGAAUGUAUCAUUGAAAGUAAUAGAUGAUGCACCAGCUUCUGAAAAAUAUAAUUUCUUGUCUUUGCUUGGCAUUAGUCAGAGCCAUUUUUAUUAAUUCAUGCAUUAAUGUUUAGCAGGUACAAAGUGUUUUCCCUAAUAACAGAUUUUUUGUAGGUGGCAAGUUCAUCAAAAUUUAAUUGAGGCACUUUAAAUGAUCUGACUGCAAAAUAUUUUUAGUAUGUUCAAUCAAAAUCAGACUUGUCUUUUGAAAUGUUUUAAUGUCCUGAAAUCAUAUGCCCUUAGAUGUUAACCCUUCUAUAAACUAUCUCUGUGCUUUAAGGAAAGAAAAUUUAAAGUUUUUUUGUUGGACUUGUUAAAAUUCUUUAUAUUUCUUAAAUAUCGUAUUGAGGCAAACUCUUUGAAGUUAAUUCAUGCCAUAAAUAACAUUUGGCUGUGCCAGUCCUCAUUUUAAAGUCAUUAGCAAGAAUACUUCAAACACAGGUAAUGAAAGGCAGAUACAUUUGAGUUGGCUGUUGGCUGUUCACUGUUUUCUCUCUCCUACACCAAGGUGCACACACAAAUCACAACCCCAAAAGGAGUGAUAAAUAAAUAAAUAAAAGGAGUGUUUUGAUUUGGAGGCCAUGUAAUGGCUUUGUUAUAAAAGCAAGAGGCUGUGCUCUUAACCCACUUAGAUUUUUAUGGUGUGUAUUCCCCCACAGACCCUGAGCUGAAGAUUUUGUUCCCAGAGCAUCUCCCAAGGAGAAAACUUCCCUCUGGAUAUGCCCAUGCUACUCCAAAGGCAUAAAACCCAGUGCUGCUCCCUUGUCAUCUUAGUCCCUCCUGCUACCUAAGUGACAUAUUUUAAUGGUGUUACUUUAAAGGAAUUAUCUGUAAAACACAGAAAUUUCUGGUAUUGUUUCAGUUGUCCUAAAUUCUCAGCUUUUGGAUUACUCAUGGCUACAGUUAUUUAUGCCAUUGAACGAGUGGUUAUAUUAAUACAGACAAAAUUGUCUGAGAUUUACAUAAAUUAUUUUCAAAGAGUAGAGAGAGUUUAAUGGAAUCUUAUGUAAAUUAAAAAGAAAACAAAUAUUGCAGGAGAGACCAGGCACUUAGCAGCUAACUGGACUUGCUAGGGUAAAACAUAAGACUGUGCCUCUUGGAAAAAGUUCUAUAUUAAUUUUCAUAAGUGUUAUGAAACUGUCCUUCACAUUAAAAAAAAAAAAUUAAACUUUUAGGCAACAAAGUAAAUCAGGGAUGUCAAAAACAAAGCAGCACUGGUGUUCCAGCCAUCUCCCUUGCUGCCUUUUAUAUUCAAGGUGUGUAAAUCUUGUAUGGCCGGACUGAUGUGAAGGGCAGCUCACCAAGGGCCCCUUAGCAGCUGAUGACAAAACCACCAGGACAUCCUUUGGUACCUCAGAGCCCUCUUGCCCCUGACUGCUCUGCUUGGAAAAUGUGGGCAGAGUGCUUUCAGCCUCGCUGAUGAAGCAGAGAGCUGUUAUUUAUAAGACUGCUCCUGUUCAUAAUUGGCCAUUUCCAGCCCAAAAUUGGUCACUGUGCCCCUGUAGUGCCACAAUCAGCCACAUUCUGCUCCAUCUCAGGACUUACUUGUGAGCAUCAGCACUUGUUCUCCUUACUGGAAUCUGUGCUGUUUUGCUGACCAUGUUUUUUUCCUGCCUCGUCAGCCAUAAGGGAAUGAUCUAGAAGGAACAUAAUUCAGAGAAUAAACACAAGAAAACUGUCUUUCUGUUAAGCAGGGUUUCAUAGCAAUCUGCCUACUUGCAAAGCUGCUAUCAGAACAUCUGAUUAAAAAAUCUUUAAACAAGUGGAUAUAGUUCUCAUUUCUGACCUGGUUGAUGUCUGUUUAAUGGGAACUUAAUCAGAAAAACUCACAUUACUAUGAAAAAGCCCGUUUUUCAGAAAUAGAAGACAGCUCCUUCCAGAUUUCAGAAAGAGCUUGACAAAUGGAACAAAAUCCUACAAGUAAAAAUAAAAGCUUAAAUAGUCAAAGGAGUUCUUUAGGACAAAAAAAAAAAAACCCCACCUGCUAUUAAGAAAAUAAUCAGUACAAACAGAAAUGUCAAAUUAUUUUCUUCCAAACAAGAUAUGAUUUUAUCCACUGGGAUUCUCCUAAAUUUUCUCUUUGAAAUUUUCCAUAAUAUUGAAAACAAAAUUAAGAUUUUUUUAUAACAGAGAAAGUUAAGUUCUGUCAGAAAUAGUACUGGAGGAAGCCCUGCAUAUGAAAACUAGGAUCUUCUAUCAUUCCUGUUGUUUAGAUCUUUCUGACACCAGUUUUCUGAAAGGCUAGCAAACAUGAGAUAGCCAAAGUUCCUUCAUUUUGAAAUUUGUAGGAAUAUUGUGUUCUUUUCAAUAGUUUCAGACCUCUUAAUAUUUCUACUUAGUCUAAAAUAAAAAUAACACCAUCUGCAGCCCUGCUAGAGGCAAUUCUUUUACCCUGUAACAAGAUUCAGAUCAGGAAAGAAAUACAACGUUUUACAUUAUAAAAUGUAUAAUGCUCCAUUAUAUCAACAUUCUUGUAACAACUUCAGUACAGUUAAUUUGGUCAUUGAGAUUGAUGAAUGGCAUGGAUUUUCCUGUGUCACUACUUUUUUUGGGUAUAACAUUUCAGGAGCAGUCAUUCAGCUGCUCUGCCUCCUCCACUUCCAUUGUCAUUCUUUGUUCUUGUUUAGAGCAUCCUCUGUCUCAAGUUAUUUUGAAUUUUGAAGUUGUGAUUUGCUCCUAGGGGUGGUUUUUUAAGAUGUGUGAAUUAGGUAAGUGCUACCCCUGCUUACUAUGGCUUUCUGGACUGGGGUUUUUUAAUAAAUAAUUUUUUAAAAUAUUUAUUUAUAAAUAAAAUUUUAAAUAUUUAAUUAUAAAUAAAUGUUUUAAAUAAAUAUUUUUAUAUUUAUUAAAAUAUUUAAAUAUGUCAAUAAUUUAAAUAUUUCACCUACAGUGAAAUAUUGACAUUAUUUUGGAUCCCUUGUGCAAACACAGUGAUCUUGUGACACAGCUUCAGCAACAGACCUAUGUGCAGCCCAUGUCAUCCACCUUUAUUUCAUGGUGAAGGAACUGAUCAGGGAAGGAAGAAAACCUGAUUUUCACAUGGUUUGCUGAAGGUUCAGCAACAUUCACAGCACAGUACCCUGAAGGUUGCUCCAGACCAAAAUGUUCAUUUUAUAUGGAGAAGAUGAGAAAAAAGAGAAUAGGAGAUUAUGUAAGGGAAAAGAUACUUACUGCAGAGUAACUACAAAUCCUUGACAGAAUUCCCCAAGAGGCCAGGCUGGAGUUUUUGCUGGGUGAACCUUCUCCAUCUGGUUUGAGGAGCUCUACAGGAGCCCAUGUCAUGGUUCUUUACUAUGGAGGCUGAAAUGAAAAAGGGUGAAAACAGUGUCUGAACCCAUGACCAGAGUGGGAGCUACUUGUAGGAACAGACUUAUUCUACCAAAACGUUGCGCGUGUCACAAGAUUAAGAAAUGCAUCUCAAGUGGUGAUGGUGCCUGAACUGCAGAAGCUAAUUUCAGAAAUUUUACAUUCCAGUCCCAGAAGUCUGUGUGCUCCUGCAGAAAGUGAAGCAAUAUCAGUCCUGAAAAGUUAACAUUAUAACAACAAAACAUCAAGGAAGAUCCCGAGAGGGAAGCAAUCCUGAAAAUGUUGAUAUCAUAAACCAAGAAUUUUCAGGCAGGCUUUGAAAUAGUUUAAAAUGAUUGCACAGAAUAACAAGUGGAAAAAAAUGUAAGAAAACACAUUUGUGUGCUCUUUAUAGGAUUUUGCCUCUCUGACAACUCUGCUUGUCAGAGCUGAAGUAGUUUAGAGGGUGUUUAAGUAAUUACUGGAAAUUGAGUUGCUUAUUUUACCUCAUGAUCAUGCACCCUUCAAGAACCCUGCAAUUGCGUGUAGAAUACAUGAAUGUGGUUCUUACUCUGAAAAAGCCCUAAAAAUUCUUAGUAGACAAUUGGUUGCAGUUAAGAGUUAGAUAUUUGAAAUGUACAGAAUAGAACUUGCAGCUUUU